UUUGCAGUGUGUCAAAGUUGAGUCGAUAAUGCGAUCAUCUUGUAUAAUGAUCGUGCAAUGGACUCAAUUUCGACUCGGCAAA
rnacentral:pre_miRNA from 1 species